rnacentral:rRNA from 1 species
UACGUAGGGUGCAAGCGUUAAUCGGAAUUACUGGGCGUAAAGCGUGCGCAGGCGGUUGUGCAAGACAGAUGUGAAAAUCCCCGGGCUUAACCUGGGAAUUGCAUUUGUGACUGCACGGCUAGAGUGUGUCAGAGGGGGGUAGAAUUCCACGUGUAGCAGUGAAAUGCGUAGAUAUGUGGAGGAAUACCGAUGGCGAAGGCAGCCCCCUGGGAUAACACUGACGCUCAUGCACGAAAGCGUGGGGAGCAA